UUUUUUUUUUCUCUUCUUCUUUCUUUCUUUCUCUGUGAACGAAGGCAUAGAGGCUUAAAUGGUGGGAUUUGUAAUUUUAUACAUUUUACAGUUUAGUCCUUGUAUUAUUAUAUUUACGAUUAGGUCCUCAGGGUUUACAUAUAGGUCCUCAGAUUUUUUUUUUUUUGAACAAAUCCCCCAAAUCUUAUGAAUAAAUUCCCAGAUUCAUACUUUGGCUCUUUUAUCAAAUUUAAAAUAGAUACUUACAUUACAACUAGAAACUUAUACGAAAAUUCAG
rnacentral:lncRNA from 1 species